rnacentral:rRNA from 1 species
GGUAGCGAACAGGAUUAGAUACCCUGGUAGUCCACGCCGUAAACGAUGGAUACUAGCUGUUGGGAGCAAUCUCAGUGGCUAAGCGAAAGUGAUAAGUAUCCCACCUGGGGAGUACGAACGCAAGUUUGAAACUCAAAGGAAUUGACGGGGGCCCGCACAAGCGGUGGAGCAUGUGGUUUAAUUCGAUGAUACGCGAGGAACCUUACCAAGGCUUAAAUGUAGAUUGACCGGUUUGGAAACAGACUUUUCGCAAGACAAUUUACAAGGUGCUGCAUGGUUGUCGUCAGCUCGUGCCGUGAGGUGUCAGGUUAAGUCCUAUAACGAGCGCAACCCCUGUUGUUAGUUGCCAGCGAGUCAUGUCGGGAACUCUAACAAGACUGCCAGUGCAAACUGUGAGGAAGGUGGGGAUGACGUCAAAUCAUCACGGCCCUUACGCCUUGGGCUACACACGUGCUACAAUGGCCGGUACAGAGAGCAGCCACUGGGUGACCAGGAGCGAAUCUAUAAAACCGGUCACAGUUCGGAUCGGAGUCUGCAACUCGACUCCG